rnacentral:rRNA from 1 species
GACGAACGCCGGCGGCGUGCUUAACACAUGCAAGUCGAACGAUGAAGCCGGAGCUUGCUCCGGUGGAUUAGUGGCGAACGGGUGAGUAACACGUGAGCAAUCUGCCCUUGACUCUGGGAUAACUGCGGGAAACUGUAGCUAAUACCGGAUACGACACCUUGGGGCAUCCCAGGGUGUGGAAAGAAUUUCGGUCAAGGAUGAGCUCGCGGCCUAUCAGCUAGUUGGUGAGGUAAUGGCUCACCAAGGCGACGACGGGUAGCCGGCCUGAGAGGGUGACCGGCCACACUGGAACUGAGACACGGUCCAGACUCCUACGGGAGGCAGCAGUGGGGAAUAUUGCACAAUGGGCGAAAGCCUGAUGCGGCAACGCCGCGUGAGGGAUGAAGGCCUUCGGGUUGUAAACCUCUUUUAGCAGGGAAGAAGCGAAAGUGACGGUACCUGCAGAAAAAGCACCGGCUAACUACGUGCCAGCAGCCGCGGUAA